AUUGAACGCUGGCGGCAGGCCUAACACAUGCAAGUCGAGCGGAUGAGAAGAGCUUGCUCUUCGAUUCAGCGGCGGACGGGUGAGUAAUGCCUAGGAAUCUGCCUGGUAGUGGGGGACAACGUUUCGAAAGGAACGCUAAUACCGCAUACGUCCUACGGGAGAAAGCAGGGGACCUUCGGGCCUUGCGCUAUCAGAUGAGCCUAGGUCGGAUUAGCUAGUUGGUGAGGUAAUGGCUCACCAAGGCUACGAUCCGUAACUGGUCUGAGAGGAUGAUCAGUCACACUGGAACUGAGACACGGUCCAGACUCCUACGGGAGGCAGCAGUGGGGAAUUUUGGACAAUGGACGCAAGUCUGAUCCAGCCAUUCCGCGUGCAGGAUGAAGGCCCUCGGGUUGUAAACUGCUUUUGUACGGAACGAAAAGGUUUCUCUUAAUACGAGGGGCUCAUGACGGUACCGUAAGAAUAAGCACCGGCUAACUACGUGCCAGCAGCCG
rnacentral:rRNA from 1 species